GAUGAACGCUGGCGGCGUGCUUAACACAUGCAAGUCGAACGAAGCACUUUAUUUGAUUUCCUUCGGGACUGAUUAUUUUGUGACUGAGUGGCGGACGGGUGAGUAACGCGUGGGUAACCUGCCUUGUACAGGGGGAUAACAGUUGGAAACGGCUGCUAAUACCGCAUAAGCGCACAGCAUCGCAUGAUGCAGUGUGAAAAACUCCGGUGGUAUAAGAUGGACCCGCGUUGGAUUAGCUAGUUGGUGAGGUAACGGCCCACCAAGGCGACGAUCCAUAGCCGACCUGAGAGGGUGACCGGCCACAUUGGGACUGAGACACGACCCAAACUCCUACGGGAGGCAGCAGUGGGGAAUAUUGCACAAUGGGCGAAAGCCUGAUGCAGCGACGCCGCGUGAGCGAAGAAGUAUUUCGGUAUGUAAAGCUCUAUCAGCAGGGAAGAUAAUGACGGUACCUGACUAAGAAGCACCGGCUAAAUACGUG
rnacentral:rRNA from 1 species